GCGCCUGUAGCUCAAUGGAUAGAGCACUGGCCUCCGGAGCCAGGUGUUGGUGGUUCAAAUCCACUCAGGCGCACCA
rnacentral:tRNA from 1 species